GACGAACGCUGGCGGCGUGCUUAACACAUGCAAGUCGAACGGAAAGGCCCUGCAUUUGUGGGGUGCUCGAGUGGCGAACGGGUGAGUAACACGUGAGUAACCUGCCCUUGACUUUGGGAUAACUUCAGGAAACUGGGGCUAAUACCGGAUAGGAGCUCCUGCUGCAUGGUGGGGGCUGGAAAGUUUCGGCGGUUGGGGAUGGACCCGCGGCUUAUCAGCUUGUUGGUGGGGUAGUGGCUUACCAAGGCUUUGACGGGUAGCCGGCCUGAGAGGGUGACCGGCGACAUUGGGACUGAGAUACGGCCCAGACUCCUACGGGAGGCAGCAGUGGGAAAUAUUGCACAAUGGGCGGAAGCCUGAUGCAGCAACGCCGCGUGCGGGAUGACGGCCUUCGGGUUGUAAGCCGCUUUCGCCUGUGACGAAGCGUGAGUGACGGUAAUGGGUAAAGAAGCACCGGCUAACUACGUG
rnacentral:rRNA from 1 species